AGAGUUUGAUUAUGGCUCAGGAUGAACGCUGGCGGUAUGCUUAACACAUGCAAGUCGAACGGUCUCUUCGGAGAUAGUGGCGGACGGGUGAGUAACGCGUGAGAAUCUGCCUUCAGGUCCGGGACAACCAUUGGAAACGGUGGCUAAUACCGGAUGAGCAGAGAUGUGAAAGAUUAAUUGCCUGAAGAGGAGCUCGCGUCUGAUUAGCUAGUUGGUGGGGUAAGAGCUUACCAAGGCGACGAUCAGUAGCUGGUCUGAGAGGACGAUCAGCCACACUGGGACUGAGACACGGCCCAGACUCCUACGGGAGGCAGCAGUGGGGAAUUUUCCGCAAUGGGCGAAAGCCUGACGGAGCAAUACCGCGUGAGGGAGGAAGGCUCUUGGGUCGUAAACCUCUUUUCUCAGGGAAGAAAAAAAUGACGGUACCUGAGGAAUAAGCAUCGGCUAACUCCGUGCCAGCAGCCGCGGUAAUACGGAGGAUGCAAGCGUUAUCCGGAAUGAUUGGGCGUAAAGCGUCCGCAGGUGGCUAUGUAAGUCUGCUGUUAAAGAGCAAGGCUCAACCUUGUAAAAGCGGUGGAAACUACAUAGCUAGAGUGCGUUCGGGGCAGAGGGAAUUCCUGGUGUAGCGGUGAAAUGCGUAGAGAUCAGGAAGAACACCGGUGGCGAAAGCGCUCUGCUAGGCCGCAACUGACACUGAGGGACGAAAGCUAGGGGAGCGAAUGGGAUUAGAUACCCCAGUAGUCCUAGCCGUAAACGAUGGAUACUAGCGUGGCUUGUAUCGACCCGAGCCGUGCCGGAGCUAACGCGUUAAGUAUCCCGCCUGGGGAGUACGCAGCAACUGUGAAACUCAAGGAAUUGACGGGGGCCCGCACAGCGGUGGAGUAUGUGGCUUAAUUCGAUGCACGCGAGAACCUUACCAGACUUGACAUGUCGCGAAUUCUGUGAAAGUAGGAAGUGCCUUAGGGAGCGCGAA
rnacentral:rRNA from 1 species